GUGGGGAAUAUUGCGCAAUGGGGGAAACCCUGACGCAGCGACGCCGUGUGAGGGAAGAAGGCUUUCGGGUCGUAAACCUCUGUCAGAAAGGAAGAACCUCCCAAGUCCGAAUAGGGCUUGGGACUGACGGUACUUUCAAAGGAAGCACCGGCUAACUCCGUGCCAGCAGCCGCGGUAAUACGGAGGGUGCAAGCGUUAAUCGGAAUCACUGGGCGUAAAGCGCGCGUAGGCCGCUUGGUAAGUCGGACGUGAAAGCCCUCGGCUCAACCGGUGAACUGCGUUCGAUACUGCGAGGCUUGAGUCCUGGAGAGGGUGGCGGAAUUCCGGGUGUAGGAGUGAAAUCCGUAGAUAUCCGGAGGAACACCGGUGGCGAAGGCGGCCACCUGGACAGGUACUGACGCUGAGGCGCGAAAGCGUGGGGAGCAAACAGGAUUAGAAACCCUGGUAGUCC
rnacentral:rRNA from 1 species